UGAGGAAUAUUGGACAAUUUGCGCAAGCCUGAUCCAGCCAUGCCGCGUGCAGGAAGAAGCAUCUAUGGUGUGUAAACUGCUUUUGUACGGGAAGAAACACUCCUUCGUGAAGGAGCUUGACGGUACCGUAAGAAUAAGGAUCGGCUAACUCCGUGCCAGCAGCCGCGGUAAUACGGAGGAUCCAAGCGUUAUCCGGAAUCAUUGGGUUUAAAGGGUCCGUAGGCGGUUUAGUAAGUCAGUGGUGAAAGCCCAUCGCUCAACGAUGGAACGGCCAUUGAUACUGCUAGACUUGAAUUAUUAGAAAGUAACUAGAAUAUGUAGUGUAGCGGUGAAAUGCAUAGAUAUUACAUGGAAUACCAAAUGCGAAGGCAGGUUACUACUAAUGGAUUGACGCUGAUGGACGAAAACGUGGGGAGCGAGCA
rnacentral:rRNA from 1 species